CUCCGCCACCGCCAGCCGGCCGGCGCCCUGGUUGCUCCCGCUGCCUCCUUGCUCCGCGGUGCGACGGCGGCUCCUGCCCGGGGAGAGGUUGCCCCAGAAAGAAGUGCAGUUAAUUUUGCUGAGCUGCAUUUUUCUUCUGAUCUCAAUUAGCUUUUGAACAUUCAUGUUUGCUUUUGACUUUAACUUUUCUUGCUGCUGUUAAGUUCUGAUCAGUGCAAUGAUUUUUCCCAUGUUUUAUUUAUUUCCAGUAGCACCCAUUGCUUUGUAAUCAGAGAAGAAGCCUAUGUCCAAGUAACCCCCAAGCUAAGGAUAGACAAGGGAAGUAACAGAAAUUGGAUAGGAGAAGGGAAUCAACAUCUGUACAUGUAUGUGUAUAAACUUGUAGCCAAGUUAUUUGUCAAACAUGACAUUGUCAGCUAGCAAGUUUCUCAGCUAUCACCACAGAUGCAGGCCUUCAGGAGGAUAUUGACUAUACAGAGAGAAUGAGAGCUUGUGAAUGAGCUCAGGAAGGCCCUUACAUGCAAAAAUCAUAGCUGUUGAAUAGUCUUUCAUCUGUUGUUUCCUAGAAAUUGAACACAUUUGGUUAGGUCCGUGACAGAAUGGGAUAUGUCUUUGUCAAAUUAUGAAUUCCAUUUUGUACUGUAUAUUGACAUGUCUAAACUAUCCCAGUUCUCACACUGUUGCCCUUCUAGGCAAAGGUUCUUGACAUUUUGUUGAAGGCCUAUCGCUAAGAAGCAGUCAACCCUGCAAUCCCCAUG